GCGCGUCUGACGGGAACACCCACUCCGCUGGGGCUCUCUCCCUGUUCUCCCAGGGGUGCUCAGAGUGACAAGGUCUCAGACCUGAGACCUUUUGUGGAAGAUUCAAGGAAUGAGGCAAAAACAACACAAGUUGAACUGGAAUGAAAAAGCAUUUGAGGUAGGUUCACUUCAGUCUUGAAUUAAACCUCUGAAUCUCCUUUAAGCAUCUGGCAGCAAUUUCACCCACAAAUGGCUUAUAGUAUCAUUUAAUUUCCCACUGGAACUUUGGGGAAAACAAUGAUACUAACAAUGAAGUGAAAUAACAUAUGUGUCAGCACCUACCUCAGUGCCUUGUGCAAUGUCAGUACUUGACUUAACUUGGAAAACAGUGAUAACUUCUUUUGUUAGAUCAAUUGUGAAGCAUUUUCUAUACUUUAUACCAGUGUUGAAUGGGGAUGAUCAUUUGUCUGUUGGUUGCUUCAUCUGCUUCAGAGCAUUCAGCCUGUAAGACUGGAUUAGUUUCAAAGAGAUAUGACCUUCUGAAUGUGGGAGGGAGGGCAUGCACAAGGCUUCUACACCCAACCAGCAAAAAGUAAACUUAGAUGACUCAA